GCAAAUUCCAUAGCAGGGUAAAGGCCUUCCUAUUGGAUUACCACAUUCAGUUCCCAGGGACUAGACACGCUGUGCCAUGUAACGUAUUUUACAUUGCUAGGGAGUUAUUGGAGCCUGAGGAUAGCAGCAUUUUUCUGCCUUCUGACUAUUGUGCUGACAGAUAGUUUUUGCUAUUACAUUUAUUUGGAAAGGAAAAUAAGCAAAUGCAAACAUUCAGAGUUGUUUUCCUCCUUCAGAUUUAAAAACAGAAUUUUUCCCUCAUAUUGUUCUACACUGAAAUGUGACAUAGUAAAGCUGUCUAGAGCCACAGUCUGUCCUGUCUUGAGAAAAAAAUAACAUCACCUCCGAGUGAAGCAAAUAAAAACUGGACUCCUUCCACUGGAUGGGAACCAAAGAGCUGCAGUAAUGAUCCCCAUGUUUCCUCUGCCAGACGAGGCAGGUAGGAGAGCGAGUCGCUGUUUGUGUGAGCAUCACAACCCGUUUUGUUCUUUUCAGAUUUUCAGUUCCAGGAUUUUCUGACAGCUUCUAUUGCCAUACGGCCCUGCGUGGGACAGGACAGUGUCGCAUGUGAGGAAAGGCAGACAGACAACAGAGGGAACCAGGCAGCUGAGCGAUAUACGUGUUUUAAAUGGACAAGAGAUUCGUGAUGUUCAGACACUGCCUCCUCUGUCACAUGGAUUACAGUCUGGCAUCCACAAACAACAUACUGAAGCACCAUGUGGACAACUUGUGAAAGCCGACUAAGGAUCAGAUCAUGGCAGAAGACACCAAAACCAAUUUGUGGACUGUUCCACUAAGCAGCCUUUCUAUUUCGUGUUAAAGACGGGCAUAAAUGUAAUAUGGACUUCAAAAAACUUUUGUGUUUAAUAUUAGAGGUACCAAAAUAAGGGUCAAUGUAAAGAAGUACCGUAGCAACCACACCAUGUGAACAGAGAAGGCCGUUUCAGAAGUACUGUACCCACUACCUAUUUGUCUAUGACUGCUUACACACACUGACCAACACUCUCCCCCUCCUCUUUGUUUUUGGUUUAUCGUUCCUUAAACAAACCAAUAUACUCAGGCAGAGAACAAAGCAACAGUGACUGUCCCCAGAAGAACUAUGAAAGCAGAUGAAUGUGUUCAUGCAUCCACAGCUGUGGGACACGACGACACGGCCUUUAACUGGUUAGAAACAAUGCUGCAAUGCAAAGACUGCAGUGCAGUACGACGGUGUCA
ensembl:lncRNA